ACGCUGCAACGCCUUCGAAAACGGCGGUGCAAAGUCUGCAAAUGCGGCGACACGGCGAGGCCGGCCGGCCAUGUCAAUGAGCAGCGCCGCCGGCUCACUUGCCUUUGUGCUUGGGGAGCGUGAGCGCCACGGCCGGCGUCUGGAACCCCAUGAACUGCUGCUUGGGCGACCGCCUGGUGCCCCCCGGCGCCGGGCUCGGGAUUGGGAGCCUGGCGCUGGUCGGGGUCGGGAGCCCCAUGUAGUGGAGCCGCGGCGACAGCCUGAUCCUCGGGCUGGGGCGCGGCGACGGGAUCGGCAGCGGCAGCCUGCCCGCCGCGCCCGGCGACGGCGCCACCCGCGGCGACAGGUUCACCUGCUCCAGCGCCAUGCUCUGCAGGUCCGCCGGGUAGUCCCGGAGGCACCCGAUGCGCGCGCCCGUCGGCGUCGACCACUUGAACGACGGCCGCCUCGCCAUCAUCUCCGGCUCCGCGGCAUCCUCCUCCUCGCCGCCGCCGACGGCCAUCUCGGCCGCCACCUCCUCCUUCACGAUGUCCACCUCCGGCAGCUCCACCGGCUGGUCCGUCUCCACGGUCUCGCCGUGCGCCGCAGCUUCGGCGGUGGGCGCUUCGGCCUCCUCCGGCGCCUUCUUGAACGACGGGUACUCGUCGUCGUCGACGGAGCAGCGCUUGACGUUGGCGAGGUCGACGCUGUUCUCCUCGAGGAAGGCGAUGAACUCCCUGAAGUUCUCCUCCGUGGGGUGGUAGUGCCCGCUGUAUGGCCAGAUCGCCCUGAGGACGCCCUCCUUGGCGACGAGCCUCCCGGCGGCCGUCGUGGCGGCGCCGGACAGGAAGCUCGAGUGUUGGAACCUGCCCUUCCUCUUCUGCCCGACGUACAGCGACCGGCUUGUGCUCAGCACGAAGAUCCACUUGGACUCCUCGUUCGUGUUCACCAGCUCCCCGCUCUGCUUGUACAGCAGACGCCCUCCCUCCACGAUCACCUCGUACGCCGCCCUCUCGUUCUGCCAUUGAUUGAUUUUGGAGUAACAUUCAGAUCAGUCGCAAGCUUAUUUAUAUAUGUUGCAAUACAAUUAGAAUUAUUUUUUUGAUAUGUUUAUUUAGAAGGAUGUUGUGGGCACAGUACAUACCGGUCCGAGGUACAUGAUGAGUUGCGAAUAGAGCUUGCUUCUUGGGCAUUUGGGGUGAUGCUGGUCUCUACCGGCGCCGAUGUCCAGCCAGUAGAAGAAGGGCUCGCAGCUGGAGCUGGCGGACCAGAUGUCGUAGUAGAGGUGCAGGUUGUGGCCGUAGCGGUGGCGCGGGUCAAUCUAAUUGAAUCGAGGAGGAAGAAGAAACAGAUACCAGAUGAGAAACAUUUCCUCCAAUCAAUCCAAGAACAAAAAUAGAAAAGAAAUGAACAAGAGAAGGCAGCUUACCGCUUCGAGCCAGUGCUGGAGCGCGAGCUUCUGGGCCUUCUCGUCCUUGGAGAGGCCCUUUCCGACCUUGGCGAUCCUCUUGCCGGCCCUGGACCAUCGCGACGCGGCGGUCUCCUGCUUCCCCCCGUCGAAGAAGGAGAUGGACUUGAUGUUGAGGUAGACCGAAUCGUAGGUCUUCCACCAGAGCUCCUCGGCGAUGAUGGCGCCGUCGGCGAGGCUCCGGCGCGUGCGGUGGCCCUUGUAGAUCUUCUGCAGCUUGGUGGCCGCCUCGUCGAGCUCCACGCGGGGCCGCGGGGAGAUGUACUCGAUCAUGGCCUGCGCCGGGGACGCCGCCCGGCGGGGGCUCUGCUGCUGCGGCGCCGGCUGUAGCGCCAGAGUCCCCGGGCGCGCGCCGUUGAUGCCGCUGCCGCCCCGGCCGGCGGGGGCCGCCGACUCAGGGUCUUGAGGGGGCGCCGCCACCUGCGCCUCCCAGUUCUUGAAGCUGAGCGAGCGCUCGAGGCCGCCGCGCGCCAUCUUGGCGGUGGCCCUGGGCGAUGAUGUCCUCACCGGCGAGAAGCAGCCAUCCCGGAGGCUGCGCGGCUUCGGGGACAGGAGGUGGUUGCGCUCUGUGUUGAGCAGACUCAGAGACAUCUCCCAACUGGGUCCUCCCUGCAGGGACGGUGUCGCUGCUGCCGGAGAGCCAAUCGUUCCUGCAGGUGAAUCAUGGGCAUGGUGAUGAUCAGCUUGGGAAACUAGUAUGUUGCUUGACAACGAAAAUCCUAGUAGUUUAGGAGUUCGUCAGAGAAUCAGACUGGUGGUUGCAGGGCAGCAGGGCUAGAAUAUCAGCAAUUGUUUGCAGAGCUAAAUGCAAUUAUCCAAGCGAGGGACAUGCUUGGCCUUAUAUAAAAUAAAAUAAAACUAGCAUCUAUCUUAUCCUGAGAGAAGAAAAGUCUCAGGAAUGGCAGCAAAACGGAAGCUUGGCCUUUAUUGCGAGCGCCGUACUAUAGGGCAGGAGAUUAAGAGGAAUCACAACCACUCAAACGGCCUAAAAUCUCCCAACAGAGUACACCAGCAGCACACCAGAAGGAAGAAAAAACUAGUGGUAACUGGUAAAUUCGUAGCAUCGGUACAUACCCAGAGAGCGGAUGUGAGAAGGAGAACCGGAGGUCGAGAGCUCGCCGCCGUAGCCCGUAGGUGUGGCGUUGCUUUGAGGUUUCAGUUGUUGUUGGUCCGUGGCU
rnacentral:lncRNA from 1 species